rnacentral:lncRNA from 10 species
GCUGCCUCUAAACUACCCGUCAGGAAAAAUAAAAUCUAUAAGGUAAUCGUAGUCUAGGAGCCAUCAAUCCCCAAAUGCUUCUCUUAGAAAACGAAUGCCAACAAUUUAGCUAAACAUCUUCCUUGGAAGUGAGCCAUUUCCCAUGUCUCUCUGUUCUCCAAACCGCGAUGAAAUUUCAACCUGCCCAACACGAUUACUGGUCCACCUAGAAAUGCCGUGGAGCGAUUUAAGAGCCUCGGAAAUUUCCUUUAAGGUCAGGAGAGAAGCUGGUAACAGAUGGGGCGAAGGAGGAAAAGUUCUUUUUGCGGCACCCUCACGCCUUCCCAGCCCUUUCGCGGUUUACUCGCUCCCCGGAAAGCAGGGCAUUCAAGCAGCCCUGAGGAGAGGUCCACAUGGUGAGCCACUGAGGGCCUUGCCAAGAGCCAGCACCAACGGUCCAGGUUUGGAGUGUACCACCUUGGAAGUGAAUCUUCCAGUCCAGUCAAGCCUUCAGAUGACUUCAGAACCGUCCAUGUAAGCCACUCUUGGAUUCCUGACCCACAGAAACUGUUGGAGACAGACAAACAUGUGCCUCCUGAUUGAAAAAACAGAACAUCACCUGUAGUCUUGCCAGUGAGAUCAAACUGAAGUCCAAUUAACCUCUGGAUCCAGCUGCCAAUUUGCAGGAAAUAGAGGAGAGAAGCAUCUGUUGAACUGCACCAUGAGUAUACACUCAGCAAAGGCCAAACUGUGGAAAAUGAUACAGGUCAAACAGCCUGGAUUCUUUAACAGUGAUGUUUCUGAAGCACCAAUGAAAAUGAAGUCCUGAAGUCCUGUGCUCAAUAUGAAAUGUUGGAAGUUAGAAGAAAAAAACAAAACUUGGAUCCAAUCUCAAGGCACUUUUUGUUUAAUGGGAAGAAGUGGAUUAUUUUAAAAGCUACAAAUAAAGUUACAUAAAAGUAGCAAA